rnacentral:misc_RNA from 1 species
UACGUAGGGGGCGAGCGUUGUCCGGAAUCAUUGGGCGUAAAGCGCAUGUAGGCGGCUCAGUGAGUCGGAUGUGAAAUCCCGAGGCUCAACUUCGGAACUGCAUCCGAUACUGCUGAGCUUGAGGAAGGUAGAGGAGAGUGGAAUUCCCGGUGUAGCGGUGGAAUGCGCAGAUAUCGGGAGGAACACCAGCGGCGAAGGCGGCUCUCUGGGCCUCUCCUGACGCUGAGAUGCGAAAGCAUGGGGAGCAAACAGG